rnacentral:lncRNA from 1 species
ACUAAAUCAAAAUUAAUAAAUAAGUCCAUAAGUUUAUAUAUAUAUAUAUAUAUAACCGAUCGUCCCUAACGCAAGUGGCAAAGACUUGGUUGUUGAUAUCCGAAAUCUCAAGUUUGAAAUUUAGUUGAUUCACAUUUUCAGCUAAAUUUAUUUUUAAAAAUAUAAGCGAAGCGAAUCGCAUACUACUUUUCUCUCAAAAAAAAAAUUUACAUAUAAGUACUAAGUCAUUGUUGCUAUUAGCUUUUCAGCCUUUGGAUGAAGGGAUGUAUAGUUAGCAGGAUAGUGAUCUUCUAGGGUUGAGAGGGUAGUUGGUUAAAUAGUAUGAUAGGAUAGUGAUCUUCUAGGGUUGAGAGGGUGGUUGGUUAAAUAGUAUGAUCUAACGGAUGAAAAUAGUUGAAAGCGUAAAUCUAACAUAAGUAUUAAAUCAUUGUUGCUAUUAGCUUUUCGACUCUUGGGUGGAGAAAUGUACAGUUAGGAAAAUAGUGAUCUCCUAGCUAGGGGUUGAGAGGGUGGUUGGUUGAAUGGUAUGAUCUAACGGAUAGAAAUAGUUAAAGGCAUAAAAUUUAACUAUAAAAACUUGGUAGCACUAAGUUCUUGAUGUUAUUAGAAACGCUCCAGCUCUAUAUAUAUAUA